rnacentral:rRNA from 1 species
UAAUUGAAGAGUUUGAUCAUGGCUCAGAUUGAACGCUGGCGGCAGGCCUAACACAUGCAAGUCGAGCGGCAGCGACAUAAACAAUCCUUCGGGUGCGCUUAUGGGCGGCGAGCGGCGGACGGGUGAGUAAUGCCUGGGAAUAUGCCCUGAUGUGGGGGAUAACCAUUGGAAACGAUGGCUAAUACCGCAUAAUCUCUUCGGAGCAAAGAGGGGGACCUUCGGGCCUCUCGCGUCAGGAUUAGCCCAGGUGAGAUUAGCUAGUUGGUGAGGUAAGAGCUCACCAAGGCGACGAUCUCUAGCUGGUCUGAGAGGAUGAUCAGCCACACUGGAACUGAGACACGGUCCAGACUCCUACGGGAGGCAGCAGUGGGGAAUAUUGCACAAUGGGGGAAACCCUGAUGCAGCCAUGCCGCGUGUGUGAAGAAGGCCUUCGGGUUGUAAAGCACUUUCAGUUGUGAGGAAGGC